GACGCGGGCCGCGCGCUGUGCCUCAGGUACCGCGACGUGCGCGAGCGCUGCCUGAUCGAGACCCUGAAGGACAGCGGGCUCACGAACGAGCAGAUCGGCGACGCCGCGCAACUGCUGCGCCACGCGUCGGGGCUGUACGACACCGCGGCGCGCGCGGCCGCGUCGCUGUAGCGGCGGGGGCGCGAAUCGGCUCAACGGCUCAACGGCGAAACGGCGAAACGGCGCGGCGACCGGGCGACCUGACAUCCGGCGACCCGGCAAGCGAUCCGCCCGCCCGACAGUCUGACUGACGGCCCGACGGCCGGCCACCCGAGCCCCGGCGAGCCGGCGACCCGACUUCAUUUCCCCGACGCGCGCAUGACCGCGCGCGGCGACGCACCGGCCGCCGCCGCGCUGCGCGGGUCAAUCGUCCGACCGAUAGAGCCGCGUCUCGGUGACGAUCCAGUCGAGCGGCAGAUCGUGCGCUUCGCGCGGCAGCUCGCGCACGCCGCACGCGUCGUAUGCGACGCCCACCGUCACGGGCGGCGUCGCGCCCGGCCAUGCGGCGAGCGUGCGGUCGUAAUAGCCGCCGCCGUAGCCGAGCCGGAAGCAGCCGUGAUCGAAGCCGACGCACGGAAUCAGCAGCAGCUCCGGCACGAGCCGCGCGCCCGCCGCGGGCUCGGCAAUCCGGUGGCGGCCCUCGCGCAUCGGCGCAUCGGGCGUCCACGCAUGGAAUUCGAGCGGCGUGCGGGGCUUGCCGAUCACGGGCAGCGCGGCCUGCCGGCUCGCGUCGCCGGCGAGCCACGACGCGAUCGCAUCGCGCGCGUCGAAUUCGCCCGGCAGCGGCCAGUAGAAGCCGACCGUGCGCGGCGCGCAUUGCGCGAGAAUCGCGAGCACGCGCUGCGCGAGCGCGUCGUGCGCGCGCGGCGCGCGCUGCGCGUCGAGGCGGCGCCGAGCAAGCGUUUCGCGCAGCGUGCGCUUCGGAUUCGGCGCCGGGGCGCGUGCUAUGCUUUCGCUCACUAGAGUGCUCCGUUCACAACGAUGUCAACCAGCCUUUUUCGAGUAUAUCGCGCGGUCGCGGCGCCCCUCGUCGCGGUCGCGCUGGCCGCCGUGACGGCCGCCUGCGCCGCGCAGACCGCCGACGAAGCGUCGUCGAACGACGAUCGGGUGUUCGUCCAGCUGCGCGAGGCCGCGCGCAGGAACGAUCCGGUGCGCGCCGCGCAGCUCGCCGCGCUGAUCCCGAAUUAUCCGGCGCCGUCAUAUCUCGAGUACUUCCAGAUCAAGCCGCAGUUGUUCGAUUCGGCGGGCCAUGCGCGCCUUGACGCGCCGGACGCGCCGGUGCUGUCGUUCCUGUCGCGCUACGACGGCCAGGCGAUCGCCGACCGCAUGCGCAACGAUUACCUGCUCGUGCUCGGCGCGCGCCAUGACUGGCGCGCCUUCGACGAGCAGUACAAGCGCUUCGUGCUCGACGACGACACGCAGGUCAAGUGCUAUGCGCUCGAAUCGCGCGCAUCGCGUGGCGAGAACGUCGCGGACAUGGCGCGCGAGCUGCUCGUCGAGCCGAAGUAUUACGGCGACGCGUGCGUCGACCUCAUCACGGCGCUCGCGACGAACAAGCAGUUCUCGAGCGACGACGUGUGGGCGCAGGUGCGCCUCGCGUACGAGCAGAACUACACGACGCUCGGCGGCAAGAUUGCCGACGCGCUCGGCCCGCGCCCGGUCGGCUUCGAUCAGGUGACGAGCGCGCCGCCGCUGUUCCUCGCGCGCGGCGUGGGCUCCGACGCGACGUCGCGGCAACUCGCGCUCGUCGCGAUCACGCGCAUGGCGCGCAACGAUCCGGAAGCGGCGGCGGGGCAGCUCGCGUCGCUCGCGUCGACGCUGUCGGCGGCCGAGCAGGCGAUCGGCUGGGGCGAGAUCGGCUAUCAGGCGACGGUCAAGCGGCUGCCGCAGGCCGCGUCGUGGUACCGGAAAUCGAUGGACGCGCCGCUGUCGAAUCCGGCGUACGAAUGGCGUGUGCGCGCGGCGCUGCUCGCCGGCGACUGGCCGAUGGUGCGCCGCUCGAUCGAGCAGAUGCCCGAGCGGCUGCGCGACGACACGGCAUGGAUCUACUGGCGCGGCCGCGCGCUGAAGGAGAGCGGCGACACCCUCAAGGCGAACCAGGAGUUCGAGCGCAUCGCCGGGCAGUUCAACUUCUACGGGCAGCUCGCGGGCGAGGAGCUCGGCCAGAAGACGACGAUCCCGCCGCGCACGAAGGUGACGGACGCCGAGAUCGACGCGAUGAGCAAGGUGCCGGGCUUCGCGCUCGCGCAGCGCUUCUACGCGCUGAACCUGCGGCUCGAAGGCAACCGCGAAUGGAACUGGCCGCUGCGCGGGAUGACCGAUCGGCAACUGCUUGCGGCGGCCGAGUACGGCAAGCGCGUCGACCUGCUCGACCGCACGGUCAACACCGCCGAUCGCACGACGGCCGAGCACGAUUUCUCGCUGCGCUAUCCGUCGCCGUAUCGCGACAUCGUCGAGCGCUACGCGCGGACCAACGGGCUCGACGUCGAAUGGGCGUACGGGCUGAUCCGCCAGGAAUCGCGCUUCAUCACGAACGCGCGCUCGACGGUGGGCGCGGGCGGCCUGAUGCAACUGAUGCCGGCGACCGCGCAACUCGUCGCGAAGAAGCUCGGCCUCGGCACGGUCUCGCGCGCGCAGAUGCACGACAUCGAUACGAACGUGCAGCUCGGCACCUGGUAUCUGUCCGACAUCUACCAGAAGUUCGACGAUUCGGCCGUGCUCGCGACGGCCGGCUACAACGCCGGCCCGGGCCGGCCGGCCCAAUGGCGGCAGGUGCUC
rnacentral:rRNA from 1 species